rnacentral:rRNA from 2 species
UUGAAAGAUGGCUUCGGCUAUCACUUUUGGAUGGUCCCGCGGCGUAUUAGCUAGAUGGUGAGGUAACGGCUCACCAUGGCAAUGAUACGUAGCCGACCUGAGAGGGUAAUCGGCCACAUUGGGACUGAGACACGGCCCAAACUCCUACGGGAGGCAGCAGUAGGGAAUCUUCCACAAUGGACGAAAGUCUGAUGGAGCAACGCCGCGUGAGUGAAGAAGGGUUUCGGCUCGUAAAACUCUGUUGUUAAAGAAGAACAUAUCUGAGAGUAACUGUUCAGGUAUUGACGGUAUUUAACCAGAAAGCCACGGCUAACUACGUGCCAGCAGCCGCGGUAAUACGUAGGUGGCAAGCGUUGUCCGGAUUUAUUGGGCGUAAAGCGAGCGCAGGCGGUUUUUUAAGUCUGAUGUGAAAGCCUUCGGCUCAACCGAAGAAGUGCAUCGGAAACUGGGAAACUUGAGUGCAGAAGAGGACAGUGGAACUCCAUGUGUAGCGGUGAAAUGCGUAGAUAUAUGGAAGAACACCAGUGGCGAAGGCGGCUGUCUGGUCUGUAACUGACGCUGAGGCUCGAAAGUAUGGGUAGCAAACAGGAUUAGAUACCCUGGUAGUCCAUACCGUAAACGAUGAAUGCUAAGUGUUGGAGGGUUUCCGCCCUUCAGUGCUGCAGCUAACGCAUUAAGCAUUCCGCCUGGGGAGUACGGCCGCAAGGCUGAAACUCAAAGGAAUUGACGGGGGCCCGCACAAGCGGUGGAGCAUGUGGUUUAAUUCGAAGCUACGCGAAGAACCUUACCAGGUCUUGACAUACUAUGCAAAUCUAAGAGAUUAGACGUUCCCUUCGGGGACAUGGAUACAGGUGGUGCAUGGUUGUCGUCAGCUCGUGUCGUGAGAUGUUGGGUUAAGUCCCGCAACGAGCGCAACCCUUAUUAUCAGUUGCCAGCAUUAAGUUGGGCACUCUGGUGAGACUGCCGGUGACAAACCGGAGGAAGGUGGGGAUGACGUCAAAUCAUCAUGCCCCUUAUGACCUGGGCUACACACGUGCUACAAUGGAUGGUACAACGAGUUGCGAACUCGCGAGAGUAAGCUAAUCUCUUAAAGCCAUUCUCAGUUCGGAUUGUAGGCUGCAACUCGCCUACAUGAAGUCGGAAUCGCUAGUAAUCGCGGAUCAGCAUGCCGCGGUGAAUACGUUCCCGGGCCUUGUACACACCGCCCGUCACACCAUGAGAGUUUGUAACACCCAAAGUCGGUGGGGUAACCUUUUAGGAACCAGCCGCCUAAGGUGGGACAGAUGAUUAGGGUGAAGUCGUAACAAGGUAGCCGUAGGAGAACCUGCGGCUGGAUCACCUCCUUUCUAAGGAA